AACGCUUUCGGUUGCAGGGGUUUUCUUUUGCAUCGCAGCCUUGGCUUCGGCAGAUCCCUGGUUAAGAUAUUUCAGUUGAAAAAACAUGCUACCGUUAAGAUAUUUCAGUUGAAAAAAAGCAUGCUACCGUUAAUAAACACGCUCCAUAGAUGGAUAUUGCAGCUGAAAAAAGCAUGCUACUGGUUCGAAUCCACCCGUUGAAAAAACUUUCUACCGUUAAGAUAUUUCAGCUGAUAAAAAGCAUGCUACCGUUAAUAAACACGCUCCAUGGAUAGAUAUUGCAGCUGAAAAAAGCAUGCUACCGUUAACAAAAACACGCUCCUAUUCUUUAGCCUAUUAUAUAUAUGGCCGUUGAUUUAGAAGAACAGCUCAUUCACAAUGUUUAGAAUCAUCUCGGGAGGAAUGCUCAGUAUUUCCCUGCGGAAAUUGAUUCUUUAUGUUCUAGCUAUGUGGACUCCUCUGGUUAUUGCUGCUCCAAGGCCAUAGUGAGCAUGGAGAUGAAAUAUUUUAGGGAACUGAAUUUAUAGAUUCUUGGCAUAGUGCUCGAUGCCCUUUCCUGCAAGGGGGUGAAUUUGCCAUUUGGUGUGCCCUAUCUGCGGAGGAAUGUUGUCCGAGGGAGUGAUGCCUCCAACGCCUCAGAUUUCAUCCGCAUCACCAAUCAUCUGCGGAGGAAUGUCGACUGAUUCUGCAAAAGGAGAACCAGUACAUAUAUUAGCUUAUUACGGUAGCUGUGGACCAGCAAAAUUUUUCAGAGGUAGAAGAAUGCUCAGCCAAUAUAAUAGAGGGCAGAAGCCAUGUUACCGAAGCUUAAACCUCUGAAAAUGGGAGAAUGUUUCAUGCAUUGAUGGGAGAUGGUGUAGCCCCAGGAAAACUGCAAUGAUGUAGAUAAUAUAAAGCAGGCAUUUAGCAAAUGCCUACUUAUGCUAGGAGAGCAGCCACAUACUUUACUUAUCAAGUGUGCAAUAUUAGAUAAUUUUGGAUCUGGUUCAAGCAUUCGAUGUGGCAGAGGCAGUCGGCAGUCUGUAGAGUGAUGCCUAGAGUUUCUCAAUUGUUUUUGCAGUCAAUGCAGAUCAGAUUUUUAAAUUUACUGUUGCACUUUUUCAUCAUUUCUUUUGAAUCGGUCAACUUAUUUGUAAAUGGAUAUGUAAAUAGAUUUGUUGUUUAAUAAAUGUCUUUUUUUGGGGGGGAGGGGUUGAAUUGGUCCCCCUGCUCAAGGCUGCAGAGAAUGGUCCUUGAUCAUGGUCAUUUUUUUCAGCCUAGUGUUUCUGUGUUGAUUUUUUAUAUUUUCUUUUUUUAUUACAUAAUUUUUUAAUUUUAUGUUAAGCAAAAUAUGUGAAG